CCCGCUUAACCUCCCAAGUAGCUGGGACAACAGUUUUGUCAAUUAUGAAUGAAGCGGCUGUAAUCUGUGCUCAAGAUUUUGUGUAUACAUGCAUUUCCAACUCAUUUGGAUAGACACAAAGGAGUGCAAUUGCUGAAUCAUAUGCCAAAUGAAAGUUGGCCUGGAGUAAUCAGAAGACUUGUCUUGGCUGGAUGUACAAGGCGCUCACUGACAUAUACAGAUCUAAAGUUGAGCUCACCUGGGGCUGCCAGAGGUCUUCAACCAUAGCCUCUCCACGUAAUUUAAGCUCCUUAUAUCAUGUGACUAAAUUCUGAGACAGAGGAAUAAAGAAGAGAGAAAGGAAGAGCAAGAGAGAGAAAGGGAGUUCCGAGUGUCCAUUCCAAGAAAUCGAGGUGGAAACUGCAAGGCUUCUUAUACCAGAGCAUUACUUCUUGUACCAGAACAUUACUUCCAGUGUAUUCUAUCUGUAAAGCAACUUACAUUUAGUUCACAUCUUGAUGUGAGAAAUAGCAUUGUGUACAGGGAAAAAGAACUUGAUAGCUAUUUUUGUAGACUAACUGAUAAAGAUGUUUCUGGGCUGAGUUAAUAAUGCUAUGCUGGCUAUUUAUUUCUGAUUUUCUAGUUCUUUCAUUUCUUCAAUAUUUAUUAGUUAGCAUUUGUGUUAGUUGGGGUUCCCUAGAGAAGCAGAACCAAUAGGAUAUAUCUAUAUCUAUACCUAUGUCCCAUACAGAUACACACACACACACACACACACACACACAUAUCCAAUCCACACACGCAUGUACAUUCAAUCUGUUGAUAGCCUGACUAGAACAAUAGGCAAAGGCAAGGGGAAAUUUGUAUCUCUACCUGACUGCUUCAGCUGAAAUAUCAGUCUUUUCCUGCCCUACGCUGGAACCAACAUCAUGAGCCCUCUGGUUCCCAAAACUGUAACACUAACUUUCCUCUUUCCUGGGUCUCCAGCUUUCAGAUGGUGGAAUCAUGAGACUUCUCAGCCCCCUUAACCAUGUGAGCCAAUGCCUUUUAACAAAUAUCCUACAAACAUAUAUAUAAAUAUAUACAUACAAAUAUAA